AUUGAACGCUGGCGGCAGGCCUAACACAUGCAAGUCGAGCGAGCGGCGGACGGGUGAGUAAUGUCUGGGAAACUGCCUGAUGGAGGGGGAUAACUACUGGAAACGGUAGCUAAUAUCGCAUACCAUCAGAUGUGCCCAGAUGGGAUUAGCUAGUAGGUGGGGUAACGGCUCACCUAGGCGACGAUCCCUAGCUGGUCUGAGAGGAUUACCAGCCACACUGGAACUGAGACAUGGGCCAGACUCCUACGGGAGGCAGCAGUGGGGAAUAUUGCACAAUGGGCGCAAGCCUGAUAGAGCCAUGCCGCUUGUAUGAAGAAGGCCUUCGGGUUGUAAAGUACUUUCAGCGGGGAGGCGUUACCCGCAGAAGAAGCACCGGCUAACUCCGUGCCAGCAGCCGCGGUAAUAC
rnacentral:rRNA from 1 species